rnacentral:rRNA from 1 species
CAAGUCGUACGCGAACGACCUUUCGGGGUUAAGUAGAGUGGCGAACGGGUUAGUAACGCGUGGGAACAUACACAGCACAGGGGGAUAACCAUUGGAAACGAUGGCUAAUACCGCAUACGCCCUAAUGGGGAAAGAUUUAUCGGUGUUGGAUUGGCCCGCGUUAGAUUAGCUAGUUGGUGGGGUAAUGGCUCACCAAGGCGACGAUUUAUAGCUGGUUUGAGAGGAUGAUCAGCAACACUGGAACUGAGACACGGUCCAGACUCCUACGGGAGGCAGCAGUCGGGAAUAUUGUGCAAUGGGGGCAACCCUGACACAGCCAUGCCGCGUGAGUGAAGAAGGCCUUAGGGUUGUAAAGCUCUUUCAGAUGUGAGGAUGAUGACGAUAGCAUCAGAAGAAGCUCCGGCUAACUUCGUGCCAGCAGCCGCGGUAAUACGAAGGGAGCUAGCGUUGUUCGGAAUUACUGGGCGUAAAGGGCGUGUAGGCGGAUUAUCAAGUUAGGGGUGAAAUCCCGGGGCUCAACCUCGGCACUGGCUUUAAGACUGAU